GCUCCACCCCGGAAACGGACCGUUACUAUUACGUCACAGGGAUGCCGUUGCGCACUAGGUUUGCCUGUCCCCCGGAAGGGGUGGGGUGUUCAUGUCUCCCAGAGGAGGCGGAGUCGAAACGUCAUCUUACGGGGUGAGGCCAGGGGCGGGGUCGGUUGAUUAAGAUGCGGGCAAAGGACCCUCUUUUAUAGGUGUCAGGUCAGGUUUUGGAGCUACACCUUGGGGGGCCGAGGCUUCCGCAGCAGGCAGCAAGAAAAGAGAGUUGGGACUAAGUCCAGUACUGUUUUCUUAAUCCCCACGUCUCCUCUACCCCUCCCUGGGCUUCUGCCCUGCCGAGUGCCUCUCUUGCCUGCCUUCCUCCCCUUGUAUGACCCUGGGCCGAGGAGGAAUAGGUCCUCAGAUAGAGUCCAGUCUAGAAAAGGCCAGGCUACGGAAAUACCUAGUUGAGUGGCCUCGGCUAAGUCACUGAAUGGCCGGAGGGUCAUUGCCCUUCCUCUCUGGUCUGAGACCUAUCUUCUUGUGAUUUUUUUUUUUUUUUUUUGCUACAUUCAUUCAAUCAACAAAUAUUUGCUGAAUGACCACCUGUGUGUCAGGCACUGUGCUGGGCAUGGGGAUGUAGUAGUAAAGAAGACAGGUGGCCGGGCACGGUGGCUCACGCCUUUAAUCCCAGCACUUUGGGAGGCCGAGGUGGGUGGAUCACGAGUUCAGGAGUUCAAGACCAGCCUGGCCAAGAUGGUGAAACCCCGUCUCUACUAAAAAUACAAAAGUUAGCCGGGCGUGGUGGCAGGCGCCUGUAAUCCCAGCUACUCGGGAGGCUGAGGCAGAGAAUUGCUUGAAACUGGGAGGCGGAGGUUGCUGUGAGCUGAGAUCGCACCACUGCACUCCAGCCUGGGUGACAGAGUGAGACUCCGUCUCAAACAAAACAAAACAAAACAACCAACAAACAAGACAGGCACCUUGUCUGCCCUCUGAGAGGUAGGGGUAGAGCUGGGAGGAUCAAAAGAGAAUAGUGAGAUUCUUACUAUAAAUGGAGCAGGCUGGCUGGAAGAAGUAGAAGGUGUCAAGAAAGGGCAAUCAACCCAGUGUGGGAGGUUGGAAAUAGCUGCCCCAGAGCUCUGACAUCCCAGUCAAGGCCCAGUACUGAGCUGUAGUCGGUUUGAGUAAGGGGAAAGACAGUUUUGGGGCUGGGCUGACUGUAUAGGAGGGAGUGACCAGAAAUAAGUGGGGUGAAAGUUUCCUCUGGUUGAAAUGUGAGGAAUGGAUACCCCUCUUCUCUCCCUCAUCCCACCCUCUUUCUCCCUCUCAUUCUUGUCUUCCCUUGUCUGAGCCACAUACAGAGAGCAGACAGAGAGAUCCAUGGGUGCUAGGUGGUUUUAUUGGAAGCACUGCAGUCUGGGAGUUCAGAAGCUAUGCUUUCACCACGUUCACCCUUUCACUCACAUUCACACUCAUGUUGACACUCCAGGCCUGGCUGGGUCAGGUCUGGUGCCGAGGAACUAGAGGCCUGGUCUUCCCUUCUGGUCCUUGGUUCCCCAGGCCAGGGCUGUCUCUGGCACUGUCAUGGGCUAACUGCUGUGGCUCUUGCUCUGGGAAAGGAAGGAGAGGAAGGGCCAUGGGCUGUAAUCUUAGACAGGGCUCAGAGGGGGCAGACAGGACUGGGGAGGGCCAGGCUUUCCUUGGCAGAGGUCUUCCGCAGUCUCCAGUUUGUGCAAUCCAUCCAGGGCUGGUCUAGAGGCUGCCUUUCAGUGUGGUGAAUCUGGAGUCAGAGAGAAUGGAGCCAUAGAACUCAUCUUCCUGAAAGGCCCUGGUGUGAGGGGCAGAUGCUGGGGACCAGAUCUGGGAACCUGUUUUAGGGGCUUCCUUGUGGGAGGGAUUGGGCAAGGAGAAGUGAAGGAAGUAACAUGGUGAAUGGAGACCUGGAUGAUGGAGGAAGUGAUUGGGAGGGGAGGAGACUGGACAUUCUCCACCCCGACUCAUAGGACAAAGUGCCCUGCAGCCAUCCCUGAAGAGGAGGUAGCAGAAGGCACCAAAAAUGUUCCCAGGAAUUGGGUGUUGAUUUGCUAAGAGGCAGAGUCCCCAGAGUUGUUGGUAUCUCCCAGAGCUAGGGAGUGAGUAUUAGCUUUAGGGCUUAAGAUGGGAAGGCCAUAGCCCUGACUGGAACUUGGGAUAUCUGUGUCCAGAGCUUUAGUGUUGCUCUCUACUCCACCCACAUGCACUGUUCUCUUCUUCCUCUGGGAAGUCCAGGCUAGAGAGACAGAGCCUAUAAAGAGAAGAGCAGCCAGAGGCUCCAGGACCCAUCCAGGCACUGAUACAUACAGGAACAGCUGGGGUACAGGCACAUCUACAUCACACAGGUGCACACAAAGGGCAUAGGCAUACCCACACCACACAGGCACACACAUAGACUGCAAAGGAAUACACACAAUGCACAGGUAUACCCAUGUCACACAGGACGUAAAGUCAUCACAAGGGCACACCCAUUUGGCAUAUGUACAGUCUCAGGUGCAUAUCAGUCUCAGAACCUGGAUGUUGAUAUUGUGAAAGGAGAAUAAAUCUCAGAACCCCCAAAUCAUUCAACCAAGGGGAAAGUCAAGCUGGGAAUUGUGUCAGGCAAACCUGCCUCUUGUUUUAUUCCUAAAAGAGAUAGCUACAAAGAAAAAGCUACAUACCUCCCUCACAAUUUGUCCACAGGGAAAUUCCUUAUGGGCCUCAAGAUCUUUACCUUAAAACAGUUGUGCUGAAUUUCACCCUGGCAAUGUAAACUGAUAGCUUAUCUUCACAGGUGCAGGACAAUAGACAGAACUCAAAGUCAUCCCUCUGCUCACCUGAGACAAAUGUGUAUCUGAUUGCUGCUUCUGCCCUAUUGUUUAUGCAAAAAUGCAGAUCCACUGAGCCAGACUAAGGCAUCAGUGUGACUAUUCCUUUACUCCCCACUCCAUGUAAAUUGUGUAUUCAGUGAAAGGCUGAUCAAAGACCCCAAAAAAUGCAGCCUUUUGUCUCUUAUCUACCUAUGACCUGGAAGCCCCCACUUCGAGUUGUCCCGCCUUUCCAGACUGAACCAGUGUACACCUUACACGUAUUGAUUGAUGUCUCAUGUCUCCCCAAAAUGUAUAAAACCAAGCUGUGCACCGACCACCUUUAGCAUGUGUUGUCAGAACCUCCUGAGGCUGUAUCAUGUCAUGAGUGUGUGCUCAACCUUGGCAAAAUAAACUUUCUAAAUUGAUUGAGACCCAUCUCAGAUACUUUUGGAUUCACAACAUGAACUCAGCUUCCUUUACAGACCCCUGAGACCUGCACAUUGAUCCCUGCCAUGCCCCUCCGUACCGUUUAACCCCUGCCCCAUUUUACUCACUCAUGGCAAGAAAACCAAUAUGCUGAGAAGAGGAGUGUUGCCACACACACAAGAGGCCAUGGAGGAUGAGCAGAGAUGGACAAAUGAGGAGAGUCCCUGGGAGCAGCAGGUGUGCAUGGGUGUGCAGGAGUCCUUCUGCUUGUGUGGAGUCUGUGAGACUGUGUGUGAGGUUGGAUGGGGAGAGCAAGCAGGAGAGGGAUCAUGAUCAUGAGGGCGAGGGAGUCCUUGGAAGACUGAGGGUCCAUGAGUGUGUGUGGAUCUGUAGGAGGCUGUGGCUGUCUCCUAUUUAUGGCCCCCUAAAACUUUCAUUUUCUACGUUCAGAAACUUCCUUCCCUAAUGGUGUGUAAUAAAGAAUUUGACUGCCUUUUGUCCCUGGCUCCUGAGAGGGAGACUAAACCUUUGGAAUUUCCCAAGUAAUAGGAGUGUCUUUAUUACUCAUGAGCCCCUUGGAACACACCUGGGUUUAUGCUAAGAGAUGAGAUGGCUCAGGUUAGAGGUUGGUCACAGUAAAGACCAACCAUGUGAUUAGAGAGUUGAGACUUUGGGCCAGGCUGACCUCUGGGGAGGAAGGGGGCGCUGGAGAUUGAAUUCAGGUAUGUGGCCAAUAAUUCAAUUAUGCUGAUGUAAGGAAAUCUCAAAAAAAACUCUGGACACCAAAGCUCAUAAAACUUUCUGGUUGAUGAACACAUUGAUGUCCCAGGAGGCUGAUGCACCUUAUGUCUCCACAAGGAGAAACCACUGAGAGAAGCUCUGCAUUUGAGACCCUCCUAGACUUCAUCCUGUGUGUCUUUUCAUUUGGCUGUUUCUGAUUUAUACCCUUAAUAAACUAAUUAAACACAGCACUUUCCUGAGUUCUGUGAGUCACUCUAGCAAAUUAUCAAAACUGACGGGUUUUGGGAACUUCUCAGACUUGUAGCCAGUUGGCCAGAAAUGUGGGUGGCUUGGAGACCCUACUUGUGGCUGGUAUCUAAACUGGGGACAGUCUUGUUGGGGACCUUUCCCUUAAACCUGUGGAAUCUGGUGCUAACUCUACGUGGCUAGUGUCAGAAGUGAAUUGCAGUCCAUGAGUUGGUAGCAGAAUACUUUCCCACUGGAUAGCUCCCCAUCGCCUCUCUCUCCCUUUUUGUGGAGGAAACUCUUUUCUCUUUCACAACUCUCCGCAGUAGACUGCACCUGUUUUUCACUUUUUGGCUUCAGCUCCGAGAAUUUCAGCAAUAAGCAGUUUGGACAAGGGGAGGAGAGUUUGCACUAUUACCAUUAGGGGAAGAUUUGCAAGGUUUGUGAUGUUGCUCCUUUGGAGGCAUUUGAGCCAUCAGUCUCAAGGCUGGGAGUCAGGGUUUGGUUCAAGAUUAGGGUCAGAGGUAGGAAUGUGUCUCCUCCCUAGGUUCCUCACUGCCAGCUCUUCUCUGUAGUACUAAGAUACCUGGGAGUAGGAGGAGUGGGAAAGAUGGGACAUAGCCACCCACUAGAUUCCCUGAGGGACAAUCACAAGAGCAGGGUAAGGAUGAGAAGGUCCUCUCCCAGAUUCUCCAGACCUCCCUGGGCCUAUCACAGUGCCUAUAUAUCCACCAUCUGAGAUCCAUUCCUCCCUUGGAAAGUGAAGCUAAAUGGAACAUUCUUUGGAAGCAGGUUCAGCUCCCCUAUCUCUCAUCUCUGGACUCUAGGACUUCACCUUCCUGGCCCAGCCAGCACUGUCCCUCUCCCUUAUUGACCCAUUUUCCUAUGCCCCAGAGCUGAGUUAGAAUAGCUGGAGGAGAACUUGGCCUAGAACAUGCCCAUUCUCUACCGUGGCCUCCCUAUCCUGGGAAUUGAGAGGGAUUUUUGAGGAGAGGGUUUGGUCUGCUCACAGAGUAACAGGAAAAGAAAGGAAUGAGGGAGUCCUGAGAAGCAGGCUUACUGUGUACUGGUUGCCAAUUUGUCUGAGUCCAGUGGGAGAACACAUCCAACAAGUUAUAUGAAAUGGAUUUAUUACUCUCAGGUAGGCAGCAAGGGAAACAGAAUCCCAGGAUUAAUUGUGAGGCAGCCCCCAAGGCUCAGGAAAGCUGCCCAGGGCAGAUGGCUUCAUCUGCCUAUGCUGCACUUGCACUGCAGCCAAGGACUCCAGAAAGCAGCCUGCCUUGGGUUUUAUACCCCAGGGCAAUGUGAAUUCCUGGGCUAAAACAUUGAAGGAUAUUGUUUCUGGGGUGGGACUAGAAGAGAGCCUGUUCCUUGUCUGUUUCUGUCACCUCUUCCUUAUCUCAAGAUUUUGCAUUCCAAGUGAGAAAGGGAGGAGAACUGGGUCAGUGUACGGUCACCCAGAGAACUGUUCUGCCAGACCCAAGAGAUAGACCUCUCAGAAGACACUAUUGUGGAGUGCUAUUCUGUUUCCCAUUCCAGAUCUAGAGUAUAUAGUGGAGCAGAUUUAAUUGCCUGUAUUUUUCUGCCUCAUCC
rnacentral:lncRNA from 1 species